UACGGGGGGGGCAAGCGUUGUUCGGAAUUACUGGGCGUAAAGGGCUCGUAGGCGGCCAACUAAGUCAGACGUGAAAUCCCUCGGCUUAACCGGGGAACUGCGUCUGAUACUGGAUGGCUUGAGUUUGGGAGAGGGAUGCGGAAUUCCAGGUGUAGCGGUGAAAUGCGUAGAUAUCUGGAGGAACACCGGUGGCGAAGGCGGCAUCCCGGACCGGCAUUGACGCUGAGGCGCGAAAGCUAGGGGAGCAAACGGG
rnacentral:rRNA from 1 species